rnacentral:lncRNA from 1 species
UGUUGUAAGUGAUAACGGUCUUUCUUGCACCAUCUCCGAAGAGGAAGAUGUUGUUCUUCUUCUUAGGGAUGAUAACUUGCUCUCUGUAGAUACCGGCCUUAAUGUAGAUGAUGCAUCGGCCAGGGUUUUUAUCGGGACAAGCGUUAACAGCUUGUUGGACCGAGUUAAACUGUCCGCUUCCAUCCUUGGCCACAACAAAGUUAGCUCUGAUUCUAGCACCACCACCGCCGCGUCUUCGGCCACGUCCAGCAUUUGCCAUGAGCUUCCUGUCUGCACCUGAAACCCAUGUUGGGAGUCCGGUCUCGUCAAUGUCUUCAAGGAGACGACGAGAAGGACCAUCUGGGUCAGCCACGGGAGUAUCAACGACAGGAGGAGUUUCUUUGUUGACGGGAGCUGCUCCUUUGUCGGAAGGAGAAAAGACUCCGCUUGUCAUGUUCUUGAAAUCAUCGACCUUGACGUUAAGCUUGGCCAUCGCGCUGACGACGGUGUGGAAGAUAUCAAUAGCAUUGCCAGUGAGAAUCUUGGAGCUUGCAAUGCCUUCUCCAAUAGUCUUUCUCAAAUCAUCUUCCUGAAUAUCGUCAAGGCAAUCGGUUUGGUAAUUGUAGACACCGGUUAACCAUUGUUUAAGCUGGUCAAUUUUGCUACCGAUCUGGUUAAGAUCGUCACCCAUUUCCUCAAGAAUGGUACCGAGAUCCUCAAGCGCGUACAGGAAAACUUUCUUGCAGUAUUCAAGAACGGCUUUAUUGUUUGGCGAGAUGCUCGAACCCAAGUCUCCUUCGGUUUUACCCGUGAAGUUUGAUGAUUUGGUUAGUGCAUCUUGUGUAGCAAGCAUGAAGGCCUUGAUCAGCUUGUUUGGGUCAUCGCUCUUGACCGGCUCAAGAGUUUUGACACAUGAGGCUUUGUCGGAAGUACCUUGGCAAAUACCUUGAACGGCUUUCAUCUGAGGAGACAAGGGAGUGUUGCCAUUUUUAUUAAUGAUGACAACGACUCCUAUGGCUACUCCGACCAAUAGGAGAACAGAGGCCACCGAGACAACAACUUUUCCAAUCAUUUUAAAAUAUUUCUAAUUUUUGUGUAUUUUUUGAAUAUUUUUUUUUUGCUCCCUCCGGUUUAUUAGAGAUAUCGGAGAGGGAGGGGCUUUAUUAGAGAAAAGCCAAGUUGUUUAGUGACUUGGGGCAGCGAAUAUUGCAAUGGAUUAGGGGGGAUUUAUAUAAGCUUUUGGUUUCUAAAAAUAGACGUGCAUGGAUUUUGCAUGGAGCGAGAGAUUAACGGUCGACGAGUGGCUGAGAAUAUCUGGUCAAAAAGCUCUAAUUAGCUUACGAGACUAUCUAAUUACUUACGAGGUUUAAAUUUGGCCACCACAAGAUAAAUAUAUAUGGUUUUUACCAAAAUGGAUAAACAUGGCGUACGUUCCUGAUCAAUUAGAGGUGGCUUGACUGGCAAAUGACAAUAACUAUAUGUAAAUAAAUAAAUCUUUUCAAAAAAAAUAUAAAUAAAUAAGAAAAUAUUACAUUAUAGGACACUUAUUGAGUUUUUAUUUCAUCCUAGGUCACUUGUUGCUACUAACACACUUUUCUUGUACUUUCUCUACCAACGCCUCUAGUACAAUAUCUCUUUUACCCUUUCUUCCAAGUUUUUAUUCCUUUCUAACUAAAACAACCGACUAAAAAAUUACUUCAUCUCAUCUUCUUAAUUUUGAAAUCUUCUCGUAUCCAUGGUAAAGGGAGUAAAGAAAAAAAUCUUUAUAAAAGAAAAAAAAAUAAAAAAUUCUCCAAAUCGGACGAUACUUCUCCGAUUUUGACUAAUUCUAACCCAGAAAAUCCUCAUAUUUCUGAAAUAUUGUCUUCAUUCUCUCUUUAUUUUCCCAAUUUCUUUUGGGACAUACGAGAGACAAACAAAAAAUAAUUUGUUAGUACAACUUCAUUCCCAUGCAUAUUAUCCUAUCGAAAACAAAUGUUGUAUUUUUCACCUUUUACAGAAGAAACAAGUACUAGUCUUUUUUGUUUUUUAUAUGCUUUAAAAUCCAAACGUGACAGGAACGUUAGCUUGUUGAAUCCAGUUAGCGGGACUUAACCAGUUAGCCACAGUGAACUGAUUAACUUCACCUGCGGUCCUAGCGAUCUUAGCCCAGUUAACUCUCCUAUUCGUGUUAGCUCCUGGUCCACGGUUGUUGUAUUCAACGUACCUACAUGACUUGUGGAAAUUUUCACCAUCCCACACUCUCCAACCUUCUGGUCUAAUCAAAUCACCGAUCUCAGUGUUCAUGAUCACAGUGGUCGAGUAUUGCUUCCAUGGCCUUCCCAAGUAUGACUCUACGGUGAACCUCUCUGCCGCUAGUUUCCUGUCCGGAACGAUGCGGCAGUGUUGGAGGACGAUACCGAUUUUCAUGGCUAAUCCCUUUUCGUUUCCGUCGGCUGUGACGGUGUUGUAUUGUCCCUUGUUUCCUUUACGGACGACGAUGAGUGAGUUUUGGAUAACGGUUGCUGAUUUUCCGAAGAUGAAAUCGACUGUUCCUGAGACGACACAGUUUCUGUAGAAUUGACGUCCGUUGUUGACGUAUAGAGUGUCUUGGAAUCCGUCGAAUCUACAGUUGAAGAGGACAGCACGGUCUCCAUUGACUCGGAUGGCCGCGGCUUGGUGCCCAUUUGGACCGGCUGUGUUCUUGAAUCCGAUAUAUUUCGCGAUGAAUCCUUCAGAUUCGACCUCUACAUAAGCAAUAUGAGUUUAUCAGGAUUAAAUAGAGAUUAUUGAGUCGAUCUUAAUAUCUAAAAAAGUGUAAGGAUAUAAACUCUCACAUUGCGUAUUCUGUUGGGACAUAGUAAUAUAUAAGAUACUUAUACUAAUCUAUUUAUGGCCGAUUGGUUUGUAAUAGUAAUUAGCAAAUUAGGGUGUGAUGAGACUUACGGACUGUGGCACUGAGAGAAGUGGUGGUUCCAGAACUGAGACCAACACUUCUGUUGUAAGUGAUAACGGUCUUUCUUGCACCAUCUCCGAAGAGGAAGAUGUUGUUCUUCUUCUUAGGGAUGAUAACUUGCUCUCUGUAGAUACCGGCCUUAAUGUAGAUGAUGCAUCGGCCAGGGUUUUUAUCGGGACAAGCGUUAACAGCUUGUUGGACCGAGUUAAACUGUCCGCUUCCAUCCUUGGCCACAACAAAGUUAGCUCUGAUUCUAGCACCACCACCGCCGCGUCUUCGGCCACGUCCA